rnacentral:lncRNA from 1 species
GCCCAUUUUUCUGCUUUUGUCCGGAGCCUCCCUGGGGCUUCCUGCUGUCAGCCCCAGCUGUGGGGAAGGCGGAAUUUGCCUGAUAUCGCGGAGCCGCCGCCUGGCAGCGCCGAGCCUGGCCUGGGCCGCCUCACGCCAAGAUUCAUGCCCGGCUAACAAGCCCCACUUUGUUCCUGUGGGAAAGUCCAGCCUCUCAGGAAAAAGCC